GCAGCGCUUCAGCGGACGUCCGGUGACUUCGGUCUGAACGCCACGCGCGCGGCAAAAACAAAAAUGACGUAUGCGCGGUAUUUCCCUAAAGUGUAGAUUUUAUUAUUAUUUUGUUAUAUUUCAAGAAAUACACGAGCAAGAAGUUAUUCUUUUAUCCAGCAACCGUUGCUUAUUCGCAUACUAAAGGGUAUUUUGGAAAUACAUGGCCAUGGAUUCUGCAGAGACGAGAUAUGCCCAUCUGCUGCAGCCGCUGCGGGACCUCACCAAGAACUGGGACAUUGACCUGGCCAGCCAGCUUGGAGAGUAUCUUGGGGAGCUCGACCAGAUGACCAUUUCAUUUGAUGGUGGGAAAACCAUGAUGAACUUUGCAGAGGCUGCACUUUUAAUCCAAGGAUCAACUUGCAUCUAUGGCAG